CCUAUCUCGGGGGCGGAGUGUGUUCCAGUUUCAGGGUGAAUGUGUGCAGUUUUUGUGUGUACAUGUGCGUCUUCGUGUACGUGUGGGUGUAGUAUAUAAGAGCCGGUCAAAGGGUUACUCCUCAUCCAGUCUUCGUCACCUCGCCCUCCUGUCAUCAUGCGUGCGACAUCCUACAUUCUCCUGGCGGUGCUGCUGCUGGCCACCGUUGCUCUUGCGGCUCCCGGAGGGUUCAAGAAGGGCGGGUAUGGAGGAAGAAGUAGAAUCCACCAUGUUUACGUGCCCGUCUAUACCCACUCCUAUGGCGGCUACGGAUAUGGAGGAUACGGACACGGCGGGGGCUACGGAUACGGGGGCUACGGACACGGGGGCUACGGUGGAUAUGGUGGUGGUUUUGGUGGAUUCGGUGGCGGCUACGGCGGUGGCUAUGGUGGAUACUGGUGAGAAACGAGUGUGAUUAAGAGUGUAACGCCCCUUCACCCCGUCACCCCCCGUCACUCCUUCACGCUGUCAACCCCCCACACCUCACCCCUGCCCUUCUCCCCUUCCCCCUCACUACCUCCGCCCUUAACCACGCCCUUCCCUUCCCUUCUACGUACAAAGCUCAAUAAAAUGCUUCUUAUACCUUA